rnacentral:rRNA from 1 species
GCAUACAAAGAGAAGCGACCUCGCGAGAGCAAGCGGACCUCAUAAAGUGCGUCGUAGUCCGGAUUGGAGUCUGCAACUCGACUCCAUGAAGUCGGAAUCGCUAGUAAUCGUGGAUCAGAAUGCCACGGUGAAUACGUUCCCGGGCCUUGUACACACCGCCCGUCACACCAUGGGAGUGGGUUGCAAAAGAAGUAGGUAGCUUAACCUUCGGGAGGGCGCUUACCACUUUGUGAUUCAUGACUGGGGUGAAGUCGUAACAAGGUAACCGUAGGGGAACCUGCGGUUGGAUCACCUCCUUACCUUAAAGAA